GGGUAUGAAAUGAAUGGUGCAAAAUCCUGCAUUCUAGGCAUUUUUAGAGAGUUUGAUAAUGUUUUGAAUUUGGACACUUUUUAUAUAAAUUUUUAUUUUUUUAGACUUUUACCAAGGAUUAGUUUUACUAUACAAACUUUUUUACUAACACCAAAUUUUUAACAACUUUAUUUAAAUUUAUAUGUAAGAUAAUCAUCCAAAUAUCACUGAUUUGAGUCUGCUGCCAGAACAUAGAACAAACAUCGAUUCAGUAGAGUUUUCCAAAUUUUUCUAUGGCCGGUUCAGUCAAAUCGUUUCAGAAUCAUAAUUUGGUCUGCUGAUAUCCUUAUCGCGAUGAACAUGGAGCAUGGCAAGACCGCACAAUCUCGCGCCACUCAUGCAUGCUCUUUUCCAAGUUUUCAGUUGUUUCAGGGCAGUCUGUGUUUCUAAAGGUAGCACAUCAUCAUCAACACAAUGAUCAAUGUCUUCUUCCAAUUCCUUCUCCAUCAGCAAUUCGGUAGCAGCAUCGGUAGUAACAGUUUUGUUUGCAAAAG
rnacentral:lncRNA from 1 species